rnacentral:rRNA from 1 species
UUUACCCGGCUGUAACUUAGCAUAUCAAUAAGCGGAGGAAAAGAAACCAACAGGGAUUGCCUCAGUAACGGCGAGUGAAGCGGCAAGAGCUCAAAUUUGAAGCUGGCCCCCUCGGGGUCCGCAUUGUAAUUGCAGAGGAUGCUUCGGGAGUGGCCCCCAUCUAAGUGCCCUGGAACGGGCCGUCAUAGAGGGUGAGAAUCCCGUCUGGGAUGGGGUGCCCACGCCCGUGUGAAGCUCCUUCGACGAGUCGAGUUGUUUGGGAAUGCAGCUCUAAAUGGGUGGUAAAUUUCAUCUAAAGCUAAAUACUGGCCGGAGACCGAUAGCGCACAAGUAGAGUGAUCGAAAGAUGAAAAGCACUUUGAAAAGAGAGUUAAACAGCACGUGAAAUUGUUGAAAGGGAAGCGCUUGCGACCAGACUCGCCCACGGGGUUCAGCCGGCAUUCGUGCCGGUGUACUUCCCCGCGGGCGGGCCAGCGUCGGUUUGGGCGGCCGGUCAAAGGCCCUUGGAAUGUACCGCCCCCCGGGGCGGCUUAUAGCCAAGGGUGCCAUGCGGCCAGCCCGGACCGAGGAACGCGCUUCGGCUCGGACGCUGGCAUAAUGGUCGUAAGCGACCCGUCUUGAAACACGGACCAAGGAGUCUAACAUCUACGCGAGUGUUCGGGUGUCAAACCCGUGCGCGCAGUGAAAGCGAACGGAGGUGGGAACCCCUCGGGGCGCACCAUCGACCGAUCCUGAUGUCUUCGGAUGGAUUUGAGUAAGAGCGUAGCUGUUGGGACCCGAAAGAUGGUGAACUAUGCCUGAAUAGGGCGAAGCCAGAGGAAACUCUGGUGGAGGCUCGCAGCGGUUCUGACGUGCAAAUCGAUCGUCAAAUUUGGGUAUAGGGGCGAAAGACUAAUUCGAACCCAUCU